rnacentral:rRNA from 1 species
GUCGAGCGAUUUACUUCGGUAAAGAGCGGCGGACGGGUGAGUAACGCGUGGGUAACCUGCCCUAUACACACGGAUAACGUACCGAAAGGUACGCUAAUACGAGAUAACAUAUUUUUAUCGCAUGGUAAGAAUAUCAAAGCUCCGGCGGUAUAGGAUGGACCCGCGUCUGAUUAGCUAGUUGGUAAGGUAACGGCUUACCAAGGCGACGAUCAGUAGCCAACCUGAGAGGGUGAUCGGCCACAUUGGAACUGAGACACGGUCCAAACUCCUACGGGAGGCAGCAGUGGGGAAUAUUGCACAAUGGGCGAAAGCCUGAUGCAGCAACGCCGCGUGAGCGAUGAAGGCCUUCGGGUCGUAAAGCUCUGUCCUCAAGGAAGAUAAUGACGGUACUUGAGGAGGAAGCCCCGGCUAACUACGUGCCAGCAGCCGCGGUAAUACGUAGGGGGCUAGCGUUAUCCGGAAUUACUGGGCGUAAAGGGUGCGUAGGUGGUUUCUUAAGUCAGAGGUGAAAGGCUACGGCUCAACCGUAGUAAGCCUUUGAAACUGAGAAACUUGAGUGCAGGAGAGGAGAGUAGAAUUCCUAGUGUAGCGGUGAAAUGCGUAGAUAUUAGGAGGAAUACCAGUUGCGAAGGCGGCUCUCUGGACUGUAACUGACACUGAGGCACGAAAGCGUGGGGAGCGAACAGGAUUAGAUACCCUGGUAGUCCACGCCGUAAACGAUGAGUACUAGCUGUCGGAGGUUACCCCCUUCGGUGGCGCAGCUAACGCAUUAAGUACUCCGCCUGGGAAGUACGCUCGC